UAUAAUAUUAAAGAAAAAGCAAAUGUUUCUUUUUUUUUGUCGAAAGGUUUUCUGAAAAUUCUAAGCCAAAGUUGUAUAUGGGGAGUGGUACUGUCUGUGUACACAAAGACUGGCAGUCUUGACACAACCCCUCCCUUCAACUCCAGCCCCUACCUCUAUAUUUUUGCCCGCACCAAGCCACCCUUAACAGACUGCAGGCCUCUGCAGCAAAAACAGCAGCUCGUUGUCACACAUUUGACCCCCAGUGACAGCAGUGGGCCAUGGAGGCUGAUGGUGAGCUGUGUGAACCAUCAAACAUGUGUCAUUAUGAAGGGCUGCCACUUGUCAGUAACUCUUCUCUUCCCAUUCUAAAAUAUCUCCUAGGCCAACCCCACCGCCCUGCCCAUCCCCGAGCUCACACUCACCAGCAGAACUGGCUGAAUGUUGUUGAUUUCCUGACCCAAGUGGAUGCGGAUCAGCGGAAAGGCCCCGACAACUCCUUCUCUGCCAGACCAAGGUUUUGCUCCUGCAUGCCACUCCAAGUCCCCUGUAUGAUAGAGAAAGCUGAGGCAGAAGGGGAAAGAGGAUAAGACACAGGAGCGAGGAGUCAUAGGGUAUAUUUGACUUGGCCAGUGGAGUCUUGGCCAGUGAUGAAAGGAAGACAUGUUUUCAUCCAUGGAUCAUGGUAGAGCUGGGUGCAUAUUUCAGCCGGUACCUGAUUGGGCUGAGGUCACAUUUUUGCAUAAUUUUUAGAUUUGGGACGGCAAGCAAUAAAAUGUUUUGACUAUCACACCUUCUUCUACAAGCCACUUUAAUGAGCCUUUUUAGGAAAAUAAUGUAUGACCAGGUUGUACUGCGUUAUUCCAAAGUCUCAAUGUCAAUGUAGAGUAUAUCUGCAAAAAUAAAACAAAAUGAACCAGAACAACACUUUCUGCUUUGAGAGUUCUUUCAUCCACUAUAAUUACUACAUCCACUAUAAAACUACCCAACAUAUGUCUCACUUAUGCCCGAUAACAGCUGAGGGAUGUUUCAGUCUAUAACGAUCUAGGUAAAGACUUUAAAAGUAAGAUCUGUGAACAAGUAUUUCAGCAUAAACUCUCAUUUCUUUUUGUUUAGUAUAAACAAUUGUCAUUAAAAAAAAAUCUUAAGAAAAUUCCGGUCAGCAGAACAACUCUCCCAUAUAACAAUCAGAGACAAAUAAACCCAUCAGACACUUGUUUUUCCUCUGAUCCAUCUCCUUGUUCAACAUCUUUUCAUUGAUCUGAGAGGUCCCUAGACACUGGUUGAAGCCUUCCUGACCCCAGCCAUUUAACCCUUGACCUCAGUUAUAGGCUGAGACCAGGUCCCAAUUGGGAGGUUCAGUUUAUGUUCACUGGCCUGUGUCUUUCAGGAGAUUCAUCAUUAUAAAAGUCUUGUCCACUACCUUACACAAAAAAGGUGCACCCUUAAGUGCCAAAAUUAGAUUUUAGAUAGCCAAUAUGUUCCUGCACAAAAAAUAAAACUAUGUCCCUGUAAUGACAUUGACCGGCAGCUGCGGUGCCCAGUUUUCAUUACAAGCUGAAGGGCACUGUUUGUGAGUGGGAUCUUCAUGUAAAGUGCUUAUAAAUGGUCAUAGAACAUGCAGGCAGAUUUAUGACGGUGGGGUGUGCAGGGAGAUGCGUACUCGCACCCAUACUCAACGAGCUAUGGAGGUUCAGGGUUUAUAUGCAAACCUGAUGGUGGUGUUGAUGUUGCUGAUGAGGUGAAGGCAGGAUUAAAGAAGAGUGCAGGGCUGAAGUUUUAGUA
rnacentral:lncRNA from 1 species